rnacentral:lncRNA from 1 species
AGGCAAACUUGAGCAUGAAUCGCUGCCAUUGAGGCACAAGAAGUAAAAUUGACACCCUCUUUUGGCAUGAAAAAUGGCACCUUUUUGAGCAACGUUACCGUUAGCAAAACACAAAAGAGGCUUUGAGACACAUAAAACACUAAAGUUUCUAUUCCAUAUCUCAAACUAUAGAGCAUUUCAACUACUGCAUCCUAACAGACAAAAGGAAGAAAGGUGACAAC